AUUGAACGCUGGCGGCAUGCUUUACACAUGCAAGUUGAACGGUAACAGGCCGCGAGGUGCUGACGAGUGGCGAACGGGUGAGUAAUGCAUCGGAACGUGCCCAGUCGUGGGGGAUAACUGCUCGAAAGAGCAGCUAAUACCGCAUACGAUCUAUGGAUGAAAGCGGGGGACCGUAAGGCCUCGCGCGAUUGGAGCGGCCGAUGUCAGAUUAGGUAGUUGGUGGGGUAAAGGCUCACCAAGCCAACGAUCUGUAGCUGGUCUGAGAGGACGACCAGCCACACUGGGACUGAGACACGGCCCAGACUCCUACGGGAGGCAGCAGUGGGGAAUUUUGGACAAUGGGGGCAACCCUGAUCCAGCAAUGCCGCGUGCAGGAAGAAGGCCUUCGGGUUGUAAACUGCUUUUGUACGGAACGAAACGGUCUGGGUUAAUACCCUGGGCUAAUGACGGUAUCGUAAGAAUAAGCACCGGCUAACUACGUGCCAGCCGCCGCAGUAACAC
rnacentral:rRNA from 1 species